AUACGUAGGGUGCAAACGUUAUCCGGAUUUAUUGGGCGUAAAGAGCUCGUAGGUGGCAGAAGUAGUUGGAUAUUAAAUACUUUGGCUCAACCAAAGAAAUGUAUCCAAAACCAUUUUGCUAGAGGUAUGCAGGGGAGGACGGAACUUACGGUGUAGCAGUGAAAUGCGUAGAUAUCGUAAGGAACGCCAAAGGUGAAGACAGUUCUCUGGGCAUUACCUGACACUGAGGAGCGAAAGCGUGGGUAGCGAACGGGAUUAGAAACCCUAGUAGUCC
rnacentral:rRNA from 1 species